rnacentral:rRNA from 1 species
UACGUAGGGUGCAAGCGUUGUCCGGAAUUAUUGGGCGUAAAGAGCUCGUAGGCGGUUCGUCGCGUCGGCUGUGAAAACCCGGAGCUCAACUCCGGGCCUGCAGUCGAUACGGGCGGACUCGAGUUCGGCAGGGGAGACUGGAAUUCCUGGUGUAGCGGUGAAAUGCGCAGAUAUCAGGAGGAACACCGGUGGCGAAGGCGGGUCUCUGGGCAGUAACUGACGCUGAGGAGCGAAAGCGUGGGGAGCGAACAGG